rnacentral:pre_miRNA from 1 species
CAAAAUCUUCUACAUUCCCCAGACAUAUCAAGACCAUGGCUCACUCUUCAGCUCAUGGUCUUGAUAUGUCUGGAGAAUGUGGAGGAUUUUG